GUUGUCUCUCUUGUAGCCCUGGGAAAGCUUGAAAGCAGCCAAAGCCGCAGCCACAGUCCUCUGCAACAUGUUCCAAUACAAGAAGCUGCACAAGGACUACAAACAGAAAGGGUUCACGCGACCAGACUUUGCAGACAUGACAAUCUAAAAAGAGAAACAGAUGCAAUGUCUCUCUCUCCUUCUGCCAAGCGGCUAGAAACGUAUCCGAACACUUCAGUGGUCAAAGACUGGUCUGUACAACUGAAAACAUUGCUCCUUGGGCUACUUCCUACUUACGCACACAUGGAGUUGGAUGAACUAUACUACAGUGCAAGCGACAACAAAGAUGGAACCUGUUUAGGGACGACCUUAAUGGUGGACUAUGAUGAUAACGGACACCCUUUUCCUUGUGCGCUUGAAUACCAUACGUAUUCAAUGCUAUAUGUUGAAUUUAAUAUAUGUAUUCAAUGCUAUAUGUUGAAUGUAAUAUAUAUAUAUUCAAUGCUAUAUGUUGAAUGUAAUAUGAUAUGUAUUCAAUGCUGUAGCUUUGAAUGCUGUAUGUUCUAUAUGGUGGAAUCAGGGACUUUUUUCUCAAUGCAACCAGUCACUCUGCUGUAACCAAUAAUGCUAUGACUCGUUUCUCCUGCCUUAGCAAGCGUUGACACAAUCCCAAAGUCUUCAGGCCCCCGUUUUGUUAACCCUGGUCCCAGAUCAGUUUGUGCUGUAUAGCCUACACGUAUGGCCAUUGUCACAAAACAACACAAAACUGCUAGUAAAAGGGAUGGUAAAAGGGAUGGUUUGCUAUCAAUGGUGCUUUUACUUUUGCUGAAGGGUUGAAAUAUUGAUGUUGUUCAUUGUGUUUUGUAUUAGUUUGGUGUUAGUUAUUUCUCUGACAGAAACUAGAGUAUCACUGAGUUAUAAUGAGUUAUAAACCAGAGUAUCACUGAGUUAUAAUGAGUUAUAAACCACAGUAUCACUUAGUUAUGAACCACAGUAUCAGUGGUCAUAAUGAGUUAUAAACCAGAG